UAACGGAGGUAAUUACUGGCCCAAGGGGAGAAAAGCGUAUCUUAAAUCGUCAAGAAGGCAAAUCUGCAAAUAUUUUGUGGGAGAUGCUGCAGAGGAUGAACCAAAAAUAUUAAUUGAUAUGGCUGAUAUUCAAAAUAUUCCAGUAGAAACUGAGUCUCCAUACGAGAAGAUGAUGAAAAAACUGGAUUUACUUGGCACAAGCAAAAGGAGACCGAGCAGCUAGGAAAUACGAGACUGUCCAAAAUAUUGUACCUGGAUUGCCCUCUAUUUGGUGGCCCGAAGAGUAUAGAGGAAUUUCAAGCUUGCAAUGCUGGAUGUCCUUAAAAGCACCAAGCAAAGGUACCGAAAUAAAUUAAAAAAAGGAAAACUUGUGGGACCUGAUAAUGAGCAGACUUUGUCCAGAAAAGAUAUCGAAAAAGAGCUUGCUUCUACUAAAGAAAGCUCUGCUCUUCAGUUGUCGGAGGGAGAGAUGGUAGAUUGGGACUCUGUCGAUAAAAAUUUUUUCAUAUAAAGUGUAUAAGACAGUUCCUAUUGUCCUUAUUGGACAGGAUCUUUUGUGACGUGGGCAGUGGAUAUUAAAGACUUCUUAUUUUAGCUUUUUAGUUCCUCUGCACUUACAACUAAGUGCUUAAUCCGUACGCUUUUUGUUGUACUUAAU